CAGAAGUCACCACCUCUUCCACUGCACCAUCACUCACAUGAAGAUCUGGUGGACUCUAAAACUUUUCAAAGAUACCCUUCACAGUCCAACC
rfam:Oryctolagus cuniculus cont2.68486, whole genome shotgun sequence.